CAGAGUUUAAAGGGAACGGAAUGGCGGCCCUUAGAAAGAACCACGUGGUCUGUGUGCGCAGUGACUGCUAGAGAUAAAGAGGUGUAAGGUUACCGGUUAUCACCGUUCAUUAAAAUAUUAACUGUUCACGGCUCCUGUAAUGACUGUACAUAGAAUAUUUUAUUGAAUUAUGUCUGGUAGUUAAUAUGCUGGACAUUGUCACUUGGCUUUCCUUAUCCGAGAGCAAUGGGGGGGGAGGGGGUUAAAUUAUUGUUAAUACAUUGAAGUCUACAUAUAUCUUACAUUCAUCAACCCUAUAACUUGGAUACAGUAACGAAACAGUAUAUUUACCUCUUGUAAAUAUAUAGCACACACAUCAAGAUUGUGUUUAAAACAGCAGACUAGGAGAGUGUGUAAAGAACUGUGGUGGAAUCUCGGUAAAAAUAAAUUUAGUAGGCCGAGAUUACCACGUGGUAUGUGUACGUGCAUAUGCUGACGUAUCGAUCAGUUGGUUGCACGAGGCAAGAUACGAUCAGUAGUGUACGGAGCAUGUGCAAGAAUACAGGAUGUAGUAUUCCCCUCCUCCAUUGUGCUGGACAAGCCAUGUGGUCAAGCAGGAAGUUAAUUCUUAUUUGUAAUGAUUGGUCAAGAGAAUGUGCGGGUGGAGCUUAAUAUGGGAGGAGUUAUGUGCCUAUAUAGGGAGCCUGCACUAUUGUUCAGGGCUCAGAACUUGCUGUAUUUUUGGUGACAUUAGUCCCUCUGAGUCCCGAUCGGUGAUCCAAUAAAGAAUCUCUUCCUUCCUGAAGAAACCUGUGUCCAUCCCUCUGUGCUUUGCUUCCGUCAGUUUCUCCGGUAUCAUUUGGUGCAUUGGCCGGGAAGCUCAUCGUUCAACGGUAGCUGAGAGGCAGAGGCGUGAGACGGUCUAUCUUUGCCCACGUUCUCUACGGCUGCACCCCUGAACUUCUGCGUGGACCUCCCUUCGUCUCGGCGCCACUGGUCUGUUGUCCAGGAGAUCAUCGGCCUCUACGUAAGAAGUGCUGGGGUGUCCCCGUCGAUGAGUGUGAACUCAGGUUCAGGAACGAGGAGGUAAGACAACUGCUGUUUUAGACGGCAGACCCACUAGGGGUAUACCGAUUGUGCGGUAGGCCCAAAAGGGGUUUAAAUCUGUGUAUGGAAUCUGCCCCCUCUGUCGGAGGGAAGGAGCGAAGGCGCACCGCUCGAUCGAACGCUCUUUAGUAAGACCGUUUGAUCUGGUUAGUCAGGCGGGGUCCUGUGUAAAUAGCCCUAGCCGGACACCGGUGUCUUGUCUAGACUAGCGUUCUAGGGUGUAUAUUACGUUCGCUAGGUCGGAGGGACCGGGAGACUAAGCGGCGCCUGUGUAAAUUCGGUUCGCUAGCUCUCAACCUAUCUUGGCUAAGUGGGAAGGCGUGUAAAUUUGGAACCCACUAGACUUUUGAUAGAGUAAAUAGACUAGAAGGGCAAUUUUGUAAAUUUCGCCCUCUAGUUCGCUAUAUGUGGUGUUUGGGCAGUGUGGCUAACCAAAACGGGUGUAUAUAGUUUUAGGUAGUCCAUUCAAGGUACUGGCCAAUAGUUUAGUUGGGAUUGUAAAUGUGUUAAAGAUUGUUAGUAAAGUGUAUAUCUUGUUAGAUAGCGCGAGCUCAGCCGUCUAGCGAGAGUGUUAAUAGUGUGUUGCUGUAUCAUAGUGCACGGUACCAUAACCCUGUAUAUUUACUGACACUGUAUAUAAGUACUAAUCAUUGUCGUCUAUUGCAUGUUUAACACCGUAACCACUAAUAAUUGUAUUGUGACCUUAAAUUGUGCUUUGACCUAUGCUAACCGUACUGUAACCGAUACUAGUAAAAGACGAUGUUACUGGGGUGUGUUAUAGACGGGUAAUUCAUAUAUAGAGAAUUAUAGCGUGGGUGACUGUAUAGUUUCGCCAAAGGGCAUAAUAUUGAUUAUUUAGUGACUGGUGUAACAGCUGUGUGUGUACGGGAAUUCCCUGAGUGAUUAUUGUGUUAUUGUGUACGUUUCACUCGGUAACUGUACCACGUGGUGCUGUUGCCAGAGGAAACGGGUGUGACUGUUGAAUAAGAACGCGUGCAUAGUAUUCGUUGUCAACGACGUUCCAUUGAUAAGUAUGGGCGCGUCAGAGUCAACGAUUUCGGAUCCCUUAGGUUGUAUGGUAAAGAAUUUUAAAAAGGGAUUCAAAACAUGUGAUUUUGGGGUUAAAAUGUCUCCUGUACGUUUGGUCACUUUGUGCACUAGGGAGUGGCCUAUUUUGGUUGCGGCAUGGCCGCCGCGUGGCAGUUUGGAUCCAACCCUGGUACAGCGUGUACACGUGGCUGUGUCAGGUAGGCCUGAACUUUACGGACAGUUUCCAUACAUUGAUUGUUGGGGGCAGGCCGUAAACGACUCGCCAAAAUGGAUCCGGAUAUGCCACGAGGAGCAAUGUCGCCUCAUGGUGGCCAGGACUUGUUUGUCCACUAGGACUGGUGUUAGGCCCAUUUUGGACACGCCCCCUGAGUCCGAGAUCCCUUUGCCGCCUCCUUACUUUCCUUUAAGAGGAAGUGACGCGAAUGCAGGAAGCUCUGCACCCCUUCCCCUAUUGCCCCCAUCCACUUCCGCUUCCUCCUCCAGUACAGAAUCCACCCCCCCUCGUAUUAAAACUCCCCUUCCGGAACCAGGACCAACCCCCAUUAGAUCUGAAUAUCCUGAUUUGGCGCCACUUCAAACUUCCGGUCAAGCUUCUUCUAGCUCGGCUCGGAGUAUACUAUUCACUAACUUUUCCCAAAAUCAAGUUCCCACAUCCUCAUGCCCUAUUACCUCUCGACCGGAACCUUUAACUGACGCCCCUCCACGUAGCCCCAUACUAACCCGACAACUGACCGGUACCCAACAAUUAAAACAUUAUCAGAUGCCUCUUCGUCUGAAUCCUGGGUCAGCCUAUAUCGAUGCCGCAGGUCAAAUGGCACAUGCUGACCCAGUCUUCGUAUAUGUCCCGUUCACGACUACCGAUCUCUUGAAUUGGAAGACCCACAAUUCCUCGUACACUGAGAAACCACAAGCUAUGACCGAUCUGUUCACCUCGAUAGUUCAGACACAUAACCCGACAUGGGCUGAUUGCCAGCAGUUAUUAAUGACAUUGUUCAAUAAUGAGGAAAGGACAAGGAUUAACCAAGCGGCCAUUAAGGCGCUAGAGGAGAGAGCCCGUGCUUUAAAUCAAGCCAAUCCGGCAGCAUGGGCCGCAACACAUUACCCUAACACCGAUCCUGACUGGAAUGUAAAUGGCGCAGAUAUGGCUCAACUUAAAGCCUAUAGAGAUGCUAUAAUUGCUGGCAUGAAAGCCGGAGGGAAGAAAGCUAUUAACAUGUCGAAGACAGUUGAGGUGAUUCAGAAAAGUGAUGAAGCGCCCAGUGUCUUUUAUGACCGAUUAUUGGAGGCAUACCGCUUGUAUACCCCCUUUAAUCCGGAAGACGCUGAUAAUUCCCGAAUGGUAAACUCCGCCUUUGUCAGCCAAGCUUACGGAGAUAUUAAGCGCAAGCUACAGAAAUUAGAAGGGUUUGCAGGUAUGUCUAUCACCCAACUAAUGGAGGUAGCGAACAAAGUAUAUAUGAAUAGGGAAACAGAAAGUAAGAAAGAGGAAGAGCGCAAGAUGCGUAGAAAGGCAGAUAUGCUAGCGGUAGCGAUCGCAGGCGUAGAUAGACGGGGCCCAGAUAGAGGCGAUGGUAGAUGGAAUAGGGAGCCUUUGAGUAGGAAUCAGUGCGCGUACUGUAAGGAAGAAGGGCAUUGGAGGAACGAGUGUCCGCAAAGAGAGCAGUAUGAGAGAGACUUACCCAGGGCAGGUUACGGAAACUUUAGAGGCAGAGCGAGAGGUAGAGGAGGCCCCGGAGGGAGUAAUGGUAAUAGAGGGAGUAAUGGGAACAGAGGAAGUGUAAGGGAAGAUAGGUACUAUCCAGCAGCGCAAAGGUCCCGCGAUAGAGAAGGUAGGGACUUUGUGGGAUUGGCUGACACGGUCAUGGAGGACUAUUGAUACCGACCGGGCUCCAUCCCCCUUGGUCGAGCGGAGCCUAUGGUCGAUGUAUCAAUAGGGGGAAAAAGGAGUGCGUUAUGAUCGACACUGGUGCUGAACAUUCGGUGGUGACUAAUCAAGUUGCUCCUCCAUCUGGAAGAACUAUUACUGUAAUAGGAGCAACUGGAAGAAGUGCUGAAAAACCGGUUCUUAAAAGUCGACUCUGUACAUUGGGAGGCCACGUAGUAAAACAUCAAUUCCUUUAUAUGCCUGAGUGUCCAGUCCAAUUGCUGGGACGUGAUAUGCUAUCCAAAUUACAAGCGCAGAUUACGUUCCUACCAAAUGGAACAACAUCCUUAAAGUUUAAUGGACCCUCAGGUAUUAUGACAUUGUCCGUACCAAAGGAAGAAGAGUGGCGACUUUAUACAGUGUUGACUAGCCAAAACCCGAGGAGUGAUGAAUCCUUAUUUAACAUACCAGGAGUUUGGGCAGAGAACAACCCACCAGGACUGGCCCGCAAUAUUCCACCUAUUAAAAUCGAACUAAAACUUGGGGUUUAUCCAGUAAGCCUGAGACAAUAUCAUAUUCCGCAGAAGGCUAAGAAGAACAUCCAAUCUUAUCUGGAUAAGUUCAUACGGUAUGGUAUCCUAAAAUUCUGUACUUCCCCCUGGAACACCCCAUUGCUGCCUGUUCAAAAGCCCGGUACAGAUGAGUAUCGACCUGUGCAGGACUUGAGAGCAGUCAAUGAUGCGGUUGUUAGUAUACAUCCAGUCGUGCCCAAUCCAUAUAACCUGCUUGCUUUAAUUCCGGGCGGGGCUACUUACUUUACAGUCUUAGAUCUCAAAGAUGCCUUCUUUUGCCUCCGAAUUGCCGCAGAAAGCCAAUGUAUCUUCGCUUUCCAAUGGGAAAAUGCUGUAACGGGCUCGAAACGCCAAAUGACCUGGACAAGAUUGCCCCAGGGGUUUAAAAAUUCACCUACCCUAUUUGGUUCAGCUCUAAGUCAAGAUCUACUAGAUUUCGAGUCUAUCCCAGGAGAGUGUGUAUUAUUACAAUAUGUAGAUGACUUGUUGAUAGCAGCAGUUACAAAGGAAGUAUGUCAGCAAGCAACGCACGAUCUACUACACAUUCUCUGGAAGGCAGGAUACAAGGUGUCAAGAAGGAAGGCUCAGUUGUGUUUGCCAACUGUCAAAUAUCUGGGAUUCCAUAUCUCUGAAGGUCAAAGAAUUAUGGGGCCAGAGAGAAAAGAAGCUGUGUGCCAAAUACCGAUACCCAGGAAUAGAAGACAAGUGCGAGAAUUCUUGGGGGCAGCAGGCUUCUGUAGGAUAUGGAUUCCCAGCUACGCGAUACUGGCAAAACCUCUGUAUGCAGCUAUCAAAGGUACAGAGCACGACCCCUUCUUAUGGACUCAAGAACAGCAAACGGCAUUCGAAGAUGUGAAGAGGGCUUUGAUGAGUGCCCCAGCAUUAGGUCUACCUGACCACACACGGCCAUUCUACCUGUAUGUACAUGAGCAAAGAAGAAUGGCUGUGGGAGUAUUGACACAGUACUUGGGAUCAUGGCAAAGACCUGUUGCCUACAUGUCUAAGCAACUGGAUGCAGUGGCCAGCGGACUUCCACCUUGUCUAAGAGCUGUAGCUGCAGCCGCCCUGCUAGUAGCUGAAGCCGAUAAACUCACUCUGGGUCAAGAACUUUAUGUACGAGUUCCACAUGCAGUACAGACGUUGUUGGAUUACAAAGGAAAUCAUUGGUUUAGUAACAGCCGUAUGACCAAGUAUCAAGCAAUGUUGUGUGAAAACCCAAGAGUGCAUUUAGAGACUGUAAAUACCUUAAAUCCAGCUACCCUUUUGCCACAACCUACUGAAAGUCAACAUGAUUGUUUGGAAGUAAUGGAUGAAGUAUUUUCAAGUAGACCAGAUCUUCGUGAUUUUCCCAUCCAGAACCCUGAUGUUCAAUAUUACACCGACGGCAGUAGUUAUGUAAAAGAAGGGAUCCGCUAUGCAGGAUAUGCAGUAACAACGAUAGACAAGGUGAUAGAAGCUCGGCCACUGGCAAAAGGAACAUCAGCACAAAAGGCAGAAUUGAUAGCACUGACACGAGCGUUACAAUUGGCUGAAGGUUUAAGAGUGAACAUCUACACGGACUCCAAGUAUGCGUUUUUAACCACUCAUGCCCACGGAGCUUUGUAUAAAGAAAGAGGACUAUUGAAUUCAGAAGGCAAAGAAAUCAAAUACGCAGCUGAGAUCCUACAACUAUUGGAAGCAGUGUGGGAGCCGAAAGAAGUCGGUAUUAUACAUUGUCGGGCGCAUCUGAGAGGAGAUGGUGAUGUAACCAAAGGGAAUCGGAUGGCAGAUAGUGCAGCUAAGCGUGCUGCUGAAUCAGGAAGACAGGAAUAUGUGGGGCAUAUAGCUGCUCUUAUACCAACUCCACUGUCUCAAUGGACUCCAAUUUAUACAGCUCAAGAAGAGGAGUGGUUAAGGACUGAACCUGGAAAGUAUUUGGAGAACAAAUGGUAUCAGUUAGAAGAUGGAAGAAUAGUUAUUCCAGCAUCACUAGCGGUAGAAAUUGUCCAAAACUAUCAUAACGGGACACAUUCUGGGAGAGACAGUACAGAAGAAUCUCUCAGAAAACAUUUCUACAUACCAAGAUUGUCCAACUUGACUCAGGCCAUUGUACGUAGAUGUGUAACGUGUGCUAAAAAUAAUGCAAGACAAGGACCAGUAAAGCCACCAGGAGUCCAGUUUAUGGGGGGACUUCCCAUGUCCGAUUUACAAAUUGACUAUACAGUGAUGCCUAAAUCGGGUGGACAUCGCUACCUGCUGGUAGUGGUGUGCACCUAUUCAGGCUGGGUAGAAGCAUGUCCUACUCGUACAGAGAAAGCAGGAGAAGUCGUGAGAUUCCUGCUACGAGAAAUAAUACCCCGAUAUGGACUACCCUGCUCUAUAGGAUCGGACAAUGGUCCAGCUUUUGUUCAUCAGUGCCUACAACAAUUGACUCAUAUGCUUGGUAUAAAGUGGAGGCUUCAUACGGCAUAUAGACCCCAGAGUUCUGGUAAGGUAGAGAGAAUGAAUAGAACUAUUAAGAAUCAGUUGGCUAAAAUGUGUCAGGAAACCCAACUUAAGUGGAACGUUCUCUUGCCCAUAGCUCUAUUGCGAAUCCGUAGUACACCUACCAGAAGGAUGGGCCUCUCUCCUUUUGAAAUCAUGUACGGGCGACCACCUCCCGUGCUUGGUAACUUAAGGGGGGAUUUGAGUCAGUUGGGAGAAGGAAUUACCCGGCAGCAGGUUGUAGAGUUGGGUAAGACUAUGGAGGAGGUACAGAAAUGGGUACAAGAUAGAUUACCUGUGAAUAUUUAUCCCCCAAUUCAUAGUUACCACCCAGGCGACCAAGUGUGGAUUAAAGAGUGGAAUAAUGUGCCGUUAGGGCCCAAGUGGAGAGGUCCUUAUGUUGUUCUUCUGUCUACCCCUACAGCGAUAAAAGUAGCCGAAGUGGCUCCGUGGAUACAUCACUCCAGGGUUAAACCAGCAGCAGCCGAUUCCUGGCAAGUUACAGCAAAUCCAGAGAAUCCCUGCAAGAUCCGGUUAAAACGCACGACUCAGUCGGAGUGACGAGGAACCUUGUAGAUUACAAAUUUUAUUGUUUCAGAGACUUGGUAAGUGAGUGAGAAGGCCAUAAUAAAGCCUGUCCACUCACCAACGAGUGUAUAAGUCAGGGAAAGUCUUGAGGGGACCCCUGUGAAGACGAGCAGAACUCCAUUCCCUGCAGUCCUUACAUCCUGGAAGCUGAGGUGCCUUCACACGGACGAAGACUGAGGAUGACGACGAAAGAUGUAUUUUUAAUAAUGUUUAUUUAUGUGUAUUUUUAUAUUCAGGAAGGUAGAGGUACCAACACUCCUAGCUGUGAGGUAUGCAUUAAGACUACAAGAACAGGUAACCAUAUAUCCCAGACCCUAAUUUGGCAUUCGCAAUAUGAGUGUAAAGGAGAUGUAUCAAGAUGUAGAUACUUAAAUAUAGAAUAUAGUGUGUGUCAUUUAGGAGUAGGAGAACCUAAGUGCUUCAGUCCUGAGUAUCAACCCCGUACAAUUUGGUUGACUCUCAGAAAUGGAGAUUCUCAGGGGACCCUAAUUAAUAAGACGGUAUUAAAAUCCGUAUAUUCUUCAGGUGCUCUGCUAUUUGAUGCGUGUAAAGCAAUAUCAAGUGGUAGAAAGCCGUGGAAUGUAUGUGGGGAUCUUAGAUGGGAGAGGACGUAUGGGUCUAACGAUAAAUAUAUUUGUCCCAGUAGUAAAAAUAAAUAUGUAAGUCCAAGAUGCCCAAAUAGAGAUUAUAACUUCUGCCCAUAUUGGUCUUGUGUGGGGUGGGCGACUUGGGGACAGACAGCAGACAAGGACAUGAUUGUGACUAAGUUGCCUACUAAUCCAUAUUGUAAGUCUAUGGAAUGCAAUCCAAUCCAUAUACUUAUAAAUAACCCUGACAAGUUCUUAGAUAAAUAUGGUAAUUUAUUUGGGUUUCAAAUAUAUGGGACGGGUUUAGACCCUGGGACAAUAUUGUUUAUAGGGAUAGAGACUGAUACGGUAACCUCCCAAACUCAUCAAGUAUACCAUUCCUUUUAUGAAGAGAUGAGCAUAGAUAAUAAGAUCCCCCAUAAUGCUAAAAACUUGUUCAUUGAUUUAGCCGAGAGUAUUGCCGGUAGUCUUAAUGUUACCAACUGCUAUGUGUGUGGAGGUACUAACAUGGGAGACCAAUGGCCUUGGGAAGCAAAGGAGGUAAUGUCCGGUUCUGAGGCAGUUGACCAAUUAAUAUCUACACAAGCCGACUAUCAUAUGAGUGUUAGAGGUAAAUCUGAGUGGAGAUUGAAGACCUCCAUCAUAGGUUAUGUUUGCAUAGCGAGGAAAGGAAUGAUGUAUAAUACUUCUGUAGGAGAAUUAACUUGUCUAGGGCAAAAAGCUUAUGAUGAUGAUACAAAGAAUACAACUUGGUGGUCGGCUUCAAAUGUCUCAGAACCAUCUAACCCGUUUGCAAGAUAUGCCAAUUUAAAGGACGUAUGGUUUGAUCUAUCCAUCACAUCUAACUGGAGAGCCCCAGCGAAUUUGUACUGGAUCUGUGGUAAGAAGGCCUAUUCGGAGUUACCACAGGACUGGGAAGGGGCAUGUGUGUUGGGUAUGUUAAAACCAUCUUCUUCUUGUUGCCUAUUGAAACAGGUGAGACUUUAGGUGUUAAAGUGUAUGAUGUGAAUCAUAGGAAGAAAAGGGGACCCAUAGAGAUAGGUGCCUGGGAAGAUAAUGAAUGGCCUCCCCAGCGUAUUAUAGAUUAUUAUGGGCCAGCCACGUGGGCAGAGGAUGGUACCUUUGGUUAUAGAACCCCUAUUUAUAUGCUCAACCGCAUUAUAAGGUUACAGGCGGUGGUUGAGAUCAUUACUAACGAGACAUCACAAGCGCUCAAUCUUCUAGCGAAGCAUAAUACCAGGAUGAGGACAGCAGUUUACCAAAAUAGAUUAGCCUUGGAUUAUCUUUUGGCAGUAGAGGGAGGUGUAUGUGGGAAGUUUAACCUGAGCAAUUGCUGUCUUCAAAUAGAUGACGAAGGGCAAGCAAUAGCUGAGCUUACUAGCCAUAUGGUUAAACUAGCGCAUGUGCCUACUCAGGUAUGGAAAGGGUACAAUCCAAGUAGUUGGUUUGGUAGCUGGUAUGAGUGGUUUGGAGGGCUUAAGGCAGUGGUAGGUGGAGUCCUACUGAUUUUAAUGUUGUGUCUACUCCUGCCGUGUCUUAUACCCUUAGUAGUUAGGUCUGUGCAAAGCCUGAUAGAAAAUAUAGCAGAGAGGAAGGCUGCUGCACAGAUAAUGGCAAUUUAUAAAUAUAAGGCUCUAGAUCAGGGAGAACCAAUGCAGGAAGACGAGUGUUGAAGAUUCACAUCAUAGGAUAAGUCUGGUCUGGUUCAAAGGUAACUUGUGGUGUAUGCAAACCAAGGUUAAGUGAUGCCUCAAGUAAUUGUAAAAUAUCAAGAGGCAUCAAAGGGGGGAAUGUGGUGGAAUCUCGGUAAAAAUAAAUUUAGUAGGCCGAGAUUACCACGUGGCAUGUGUACGUGCAUAUGCUGACGUAUCGAUCAGUUGGUUGCACGAGGCAAGAUACGAUCAGUAGUGUACGGAGCAUGUGCAAGAAUACAGGAUGUAGUAUUCCCCUCCUCCAUUGUGCUGGACAAGCCAUGCGGUCAAGCAGGAAGUUAAUUCUUAUUUGUAAUGAUUGGUCAAGAGAAUGUGCGGGUGGAGCUUAAUAUGGGAGGAGUUAUGUGCCUAUAUAGGGAGCCUGCACUAUUGUUCAGGGCUCAGAACUUGCUGUAUUUUUGGUGACAUUAGUCCCUCUGAGUCCCGAUCGGUGAUCCAAUAAAGAAUCUCUUCCUUCCUGAAGAAACCUGUGUCCAUCCCUCUGUGCUUUGCUUCCGUCAGUUUCUCCGGUAUCAGAACAAGUUUAUAAAAGUUGUACAGCUGUAUAUAUAUAUAUUAUUAUUUAUAUAGCGCCAACAAAUUCCGCAGCGCUUUACAAUGGGUGGAUGAACAGACAUGUAGUUGUAACCUGACAAGUUGGACACACAGGAACAGAAGGGUUGAGGGCAGGGGCGUAUUAGCCGCGAGGCAAACAAGGCAUUUGCCUUGGGCGGCAUUUUUCAGGGGGCGGCAAAAAACGCCGCCCCCCAAAUGCCCAAGGCAAAUGUCUUGUUAGCCUCGCGGCUAACUGACAUCCCGGGCGGGCGGCUGGCGAGGGAGCACUUCCUAUGAGCCGCGCCGCCAGCAGAGUGAGGCUGGGAGCCGGGUUGAUGACGUCAUAUUCCGGCUCCCAGCCUCACUCUGCUGGCGGCGCGCGAGGGAGCUGAGCAGAGCGCUCAGGGGAAGAGCUCCCUCGCCGUCCGCCCGCCCUGCAGCCACUGGACCCCAGGGAGAGGAAGAACCCCCCCCAGCAUUACCAAAGGUAAGGAGGCUGGGGGGGGUUAAAUAAAAAAAUAAAAAUAAAACACUAGUGAGUGUGUGUAUGUCUGCUAGUGUGUGUGUGGAUGUCUGUUAGUGUGUAUGUUAGUGUGUGUGUGUGUUAGUGUGUGUAUGUUAGUGUGUGUGGAUGUCUGUUAGUGUGUGUCUGUUAGUGUGUGUGUGUAUGUUAGUGUUAGUGUGUGUCUGUUAGUGUUAGUGUGUGUGUUAGUGUGUAUGUUAGUGUUAGUGUGUGUGUCUGUUAGUGUUAGUGUGUGUAUGUUAGUGUUAGUGUGUAUGUUAGUGUUAGUGUGUGUAUGUUAGUGUUAGUGUGUAUGUUAGUGUUAGUGUGUGCAUGUUAGUGUUAGUGUGUGUGUCUGUUAGUGUUAGUGUGUAUGUUAAUGUUAGUGUAUGUAUGUUAGUGUUAGUGUGUGUGUGUCUGUUAGUGUGGAUGUCUGUUAGUGUGGAUGUCUGUUAGUGUGUGUGUUUGCCUGUUAGUGUGUGUGUGUGUUUGCCUGUUAGUGUGUGUGUGUGUUUGCCUGUGAGUGUGUGUGUCUGUUAGUGAGUGUGUGAGUGUGUGUCUGUUAGUGACUGUGUGUUUCUGUUAGCAAGUGAAUGCGUAUCUGUCAGUGAAUGUGUGUGUAUUUAGAAGGCGGAGCAGGGGGGAAGGUUGGGUGGCGGUUGCGCGGGUGGGGGUGGCGCGGGGGGGUGCCUGAGUUUUGUCCUGCCUAGGGCAGCACAAAACCAGGAUACACCACUGGUUGAGGGCCCUGCUCAAUGAGCUUACAUGCUAGAGGGAGUGGGGUAAAAUGACACAAAUGGUAAGGAUAGUAUUAGACUAAUGACAGUUGCAAGAGAGGAAUCAGUCGGGAGCUAUUAACAGUUUAAUUGAUACGCUUUUAUGAAGAAGUGGAUUUUUAACGAUUUUUUGAAGGAGGGGAGACUGGGUGAGCAUCUAACAGAGGAGGUAAGGGAGUUACCCAGGAACGGUGCAGCCCUCGAGAAGUCUUGAAUGCGAGCAUCAGAGGUGGGAGUACGGACAGAAGAUAGACGUAAGUCUUCAGCAGAGCGUAAGGACCUACAUGAGACAUGCUUAUGUAUCAGGGAGGAUAGAUAGGUGGGAGCAGCAUUAUCUAGAGAUUUGAAAGCAAGAACCAGAAUUUUAAAUUGAGCCCUAUAUCUUUCAGGAAGCCAAUGUAGUGACUGACAGAAGGGUGAGGCGUGGGAAGACAGGAAGAUGAGCCUCGCUGCCACAUUCAUUAUGGACUGUAACGGUGCAAGUUGGCAGCACGCAAGACCACUGAGAAGCGGAUUACAGUAGUCAAGGCGAGAAAGGACAGUGGAAUGGACCAGCACCUUAGUCGCAUCUUGUUACGCUACUUGGGUGAUUUGGAUUGGAACUCAACUGCAGCUUGUAAAACUCCCUAAUUACAAUAGUGAAGAAACGGAGAAUCUUUAAAGUAUCAAUACUGUAGCUUUAAGAAAAGAGAGAAUUGCUGGUAACUUGAUUCAAACGAAGUUUUAAUAAGUGUUAAACUUAAAUGAA